rnacentral:rRNA from 1 species
CCUACGGGAGGCAGCAGUGAGGAAUAUUGGUCAAUGGACGAGAGUCUGAACCAGCCAAGUAGCGUGAAGGAUGACUGCUCUAUGGGUUGUAAACUCCUUUUAUAUGGGAAUAAAAUGUUCCACGUGUGGGAUUUUGUAUGUACCAUAUGAAUAAGGAUCGGCUAACUCCGUGCCAGCAGCCGCGGUAAUACGGAUGAUCCGAGCGUUAUCCGGAUUUAUUGGGUUUAAAGGGAGCGUAGGUGGAUUGUUAAGUUAGUUGUGAAAGUUUGCGGCUCAACCGUAAAAUUGCCUUUGAAACUGGCAGUCUUGAGUACAGUAGGGGUGGGCGGAAUUCGUGGUGUAGCGGUGAAAUGCUUAGAUAUCACGAAGAACUCCGAUUGCGAAGGCAGUUCACUGGACUGCAACUGACACUGAGGCUCGAAAGUGUGGGUAUCAAACAGAAUUAGAUACCCCUGUAGUC